CGGCAAGGAGGGCGAAGUCGUAACAAGGCAGCCGUACCGGAAGGUGCGGCUGGAUCACCUCCUUUCUCAGG
rnacentral:rRNA from 1 species